CCUACGGGUGGCAGCAGUAGGGAAUCUUUCACAAUGGGCGAAAGCCUGAUGGAGCCACGCCGCGUGCAGGAUGAAGGCCUUCGGGUGGUACACUGCUUUUAUAAGCGAGAAAUAUGAUUGUAACUUCUGAAUAAGGAUCGGCUAACUACGUGCCAGCAGCCGCGGUAAUACGUAGGAGGCAAGCGUUAUCCGGAAUGACUGGGCGUAAAGGGUGCGUAGGUGGUUUGACAAGUUGGGAGCGUAACUCCGGGGCUCAACCUCGGCACUACUACCAAAACUGUCGGACUUGAGUGCAGUAGGGGCAGAUGGAAUGCCUAGUGUAGCGGUGGAAUGCGUAGAUAUUAGGAGGAACACCAGUGGCGAAGGCGAUCUGCUAGACUGUAACUGACACUGAGGCACGAAAGCGUGGGGAGCAAACAGGAUUAGAUACCCUAGUAGUC
rnacentral:rRNA from 1 species